rnacentral:piRNA from 1 species
UGGGUAGUGAUGGGUUAGGUAAGGCUGU